CAGGAUCAGCAGGAAAAGAAGGCACUCAAGCUGCACUGUGGUCCCAUCAGACACUGAGGACCAUCUGUACAGCAAGAUGCCUUGCAUCUUUCCUGUACAAGACUUGGAAAGGGCCCAACAAGCCCAACAGAAGCGACGCAAGGCAAGUUGUCUGUU